rnacentral:rRNA from 1 species
AUUGAACGCUGGCGGAAUGCCUUACACAUGCAAGUCGAACGGCAGCACGGGUGCUUGCACCUGGUGGCGAGUGGCGAACGGGUGAGUAAUGCACCGGAACGUAUCCAAUAAUGGGGGAUAACGCACCGAAAGGUGUGCUAAUACCGCAUACGCCCUGAGGGGGGAAAGCGGGGGAUCGUAAGACCUCGCGUUAAUGGAGCGGCCGAUGCCGGAUUAGCUAGUUGGUGAGGUAAAGGCUCACCAAGGCGACGAUCCGUAGCUGGUCUGAGAGGACGACCAGCCACACUGGAACUGAGACACGGUCCAGACUCCUACGGGAGGCAGCAGUGGGAAUUUUGGACAAUGGGCGCAAGCCUGAUCCAGCCAUUCCGCGUGAGUGAAGAAGGCCUCGG